GGAAAUGCGGUGCUCGGCCGGGUUACUCGACCCUGCUAAGGUGGAGUCCCCGUAAGGGGACCGAGGGUUCAAAUCCCUCCGUCUCCGCCA
rnacentral:tRNA from 1 species